rnacentral:rRNA from 1 species
GACUCUCGGCAACGGAUAUCUCGGCUCUUGUCACGAUGAAGAAUGUAGCGAAAUGCGAUACUUAGUGUGAAUUGCAGAAUCCCAUGAAUCAUCGAGUUUUUGAACACAAUUUGCGCCCGAGGCCUCGGUCGAGGGCACGUCUGUCUGGGCAUCA